GCUCUCGUCUGAUCUCAGGUCGAAGCGAGAUGUCGCGCACAGGGCGCAACUGAACACUUCCGCACGCUCGGCCGAGACACGCGCCGACCCGUUCCUCUUUGAGGCUCAUGCGAGCGAGCGCGGAGACGAACAGAGCUCGAGAUAGAGCAUCGCGUCGCCGUCCGUGGCUCGAUGAGAAGAAACGAGUCGCGAACACGUGGGCCAAGUCUUGUGCGGCCGGUCUGUACUUGGAGCCGCACGGGGACAGCGCUGCGCGAGGCGGCGCGCCCGUGCGAGCUCAAUGCGCAAGCGAGAGCCGUUGCGAUUGAUGUCAAACCGACCCUGAGACAGGCGUGGUCCCGGGAGGACCCGGGACCGCAAUGUGCGUUCAAGAUGUCGAUGUUCAAUGAGUCCUGCAAUUCACAUUAAAUCACGCAGCUGGCUGCGCUCUUCAUCGACACACGAGCCGAGUGAUCCACCGCUCAGAGUGAUAUUUUUGUUUUACCGCAUGCGUCGGGCAACUCGACUGCAUCGGCACUCACUCAGUGAGACACACACACAACUCUAUUAGACAACAACCACGUUCGGGCGAUCGCCUGGGGCGCACUGAGAGCUGGCGCCUCUUCAUUCGGUGGCCGCCUUCGUACUCGCCCGAACGAGCGAGCACGCCGGCGUACUAUCCACCUCGGGCAGCGAAGGCGAAGACGGCGUGAGAGCGCAUCCACUGGCUCGCAGCGAGCUGCGAGCCAGCAGACGGCCGUCUUCAGGCGAUUCUUUGAACCUCGCGUCGCGCCACAGAUCGGCGACGAGCGGGACGCUUGCCCUUCCGCUCGUCGGCGCAACGUUAGGCACCGCCGUUCGACCGACGCCGCCCUCCCGGCCCCCGCACAUAGCGGGGACGCUGAGAGAGCGAGCGGCGCCGACCGCCGGCAGUCUAGGUACCCGAACACACCAGUGGGACACGUAUGCACUAGCGCCUCACACGGCGUCCUUAGAGGUAAGCGCUCGCCCACCGAAGUGCGAGCGCCGGACGCGAGACGCCUCGGCCCGACGCGGAGCGGCGCACAGCGGCACCGACCGGCAGGCCUCCUCUCACUGCUAUUUGUUGCGCGCCGCUCGGGCACUAACAACACACCAGACGAAGCCGCCAGGGCAACGCCGGUGUUGGCUCGAUAAUGAUCCUUCC
rnacentral:misc_RNA from 1 species